rnacentral:sRNA from 1 species
UAUUGUGGAAACUUACAACUGUACUGCCAUAGGCUUCUCUAACUCCCAGUUGCGUCCCCUGGUAUCAUGCCAAAUAACAUUUAUGAUUUUGUUUACAGGCCGGUGUGCUCACAGUGUUGCAAAAAGAUGCGGCUGCCCUCCAAACCAUACUCCACUCUUCCUAUCUUUUCAUUGGGACCUUCUGCUCUGCAAAGAGGGGAAAGUAGUAUGAGGUCAGAAAAACCCUCCACUGCCCAUCAUCGGCCACUUCGGAGCAUUGCCAGGUUCUCCUCAAAAUCUAAGUCUAUGGACAAAUCAGAUGAAGAACUCCAGUUUCCCAAAGAGUUGAUGGAGGACUGGAGCACCAUGGAGGUGUGUGUGGACUGCAAGAAGUUCAUUUCGGAAAUCAUCAGUUCAAGCCGGCGCAGUCUGGUGUUGGCCAACAAAAGGGCCCGAUUGAAAAGGAAAACGCAGUCUUUCUACAUGUCCUCGCCAGGCCCCUCGGAGUACUGCCCUUCAGAGAGGACGAUCAGUGAGAUCUGAGCCUCGUGCCUUUCAGCUGCUUUUGUGCUUCGAGUCAGCGUCCGUGCGCGAGGACACUGAGCCGG